GCGGGAGUAGAAACACAAAAGAAAAAUCAUGGCGGAAGAAACCCUAGAUGAUCGUCUGAGUGACUUGCCGGACUCACUUCUGCUUCAAAUUCUGUCUCUUUUGCCGACGGAGGAAGCAUUCAGAACAUGUAUUCUCUCUAAAAGGUGGCAGUAUCUCUGGACUUCACUUGAUUCUUUAAUUUUCUCUCCUAGACGCUUUUGGGGAAGAAACAAAGGAUUUCGAUCAUUUGUUGACUAUGUAUUGUCUCAUUCUACUGCUCCCAAAAUUACUAAAUUUGAGAUCCACUGCAGUGGCCUGCAUAGCUACAAGUCUCAAAUAAGCCAAUGGCUUACUUUUGCUGUUAAAAAAAAUGUACAACAUGCUGUACUCUAUUCUCCUCCUCCUUCCAUCAUGUCUCAAUGUUUUUUCAAUUGUUCGUCUUUGAUAUCAUUGUAUCUUGCAGAAAGUUCCUUGGUUUCUACUGUUGUUAUAGCUUGGAAGUCUCUAAAGACUAUAAAAUUGGAGGAAAUGGUGGUAGUUGAUGCUGAGAU
rnacentral:misc_RNA from 1 species